rnacentral:rRNA from 1 species
GACGAACGCUGGCGGCGUGCCUAAUACAUGCAAGUAGAACGCUGAAGGAGGAGCUUGCUUCUCUGGAUGAGUUGCGAACGGGUGAGUAACGCGUAGGUAACCUGCCUGGUAGCGGGGGAUAACUAUUGGAAACGAUAGCUAAUACCGCAUAAGAGUAGAUGUUGCAUGACAUUUGCUUAAAAGGUGCAAUUGCAUCACUACCAGAUGGACCUGCGUUGUAUUAGCUAGUUGGUGGGGUAACGGCUCACCAAGGCGACGAUACAUAGCCGACCUGAGAGGGUGAUCGGCCACACUGGGACUGAGACACGGCCCAGACUCCUACGGGAGGCAGCAGUAGGGAAUCUUCGGCAAUGGACGGAAGUCUGACCGAGCAACGCCGCGUGAGUGAAGAAGGUUUUCGAAUCGUAAAGCUCUGUUGUAAGAGAAGAACGAGUGUGAGAGUGGAAAGUUCACACUGUGACGGUAUCUUACCAGAAAGGGACGGCUAACUACGUG